UACGUAGGUGGCAAGCGUUGUCCGGAGUUACUGGGCGUAAAGGAUGCGUAGGUGGAUAUUCAAGUGGGAUGUGAAAUACCCGGGCUCAACUCGGGUGCUGCAUUCCAAACUGGAUAUCUAGAGUGCAGGAGAGGUAAGUGGAAUUCCUAGUGUAGCGGUGAAAUGCGUAGAGAUGAGGAAGAACACCAGUGGCGAAGGCGGCUUACUGGGCUAUAACUGACGCUGAGGCAUGAAAGCGUGGGGAGCAAACAGG
rnacentral:rRNA from 1 species